CCAAAGGCUCUUUUCAGAGCCACCUACUUUUUCAUAACUGGAGCUGU
rfam:Fukomys damarensis contig90628, whole genome shotgun sequence.